rnacentral:rRNA from 1 species
AAGGUUUCCGUANGUGAACCUGCGGAAGGAUCAUUA